GGUCUUGUAGUGUAGUGGUUAUCACGUCUGCUUUACACGCAGAAGGUCCCCGGUCGAGCCCGGGCUGGACCA
rnacentral:tRNA from 1 species